GACGAACGCUGGCGGCGUGCUUAACACAUGCAAGUCGAACGGAAAGGCCCUGCUUUUGUGGGGUGCUCGAGUGGCGAACGGGUGAGUAACACGUGAGUAACCUGCCCUUGACUUUGGGAUAACUUCAGGAAACUGGGGCUAAUACCGGAUAGGAGCUCCUGCUGCAUGGUGGGGGUUGGAAAGUUUCGGCGGUUGGGGCUGGACUCGCGGCUUAUCAGCUUGUUGGUGGGGUAGUGGCUUACCAAGGCUUUGACGGGUAGCCGGCCUGAGAGGGGGACCGGCGACAAUGGGACUGAGAUACGGACCAGACUGCUACGGGAGGCAGCAGUGGGGAAUAUUGCACAAUGGGCGGAAGCCUGAUGCAGCAACGCCGCGUGCGGGAUGACGGCCUUCGGGUUGUAAACCGCUUUCGCCUGUGACGAAGCGUGAGUGACGGUAAUGGGUAAAGAAGCACCGGCUAACUACGUG
rnacentral:rRNA from 1 species